GGAAGGAUCAUUAUCGUACAAAAUGUGAGGGGCAUGUGAGGGCUGUCGCUGACUCAAAGUCGUGCACGCCCGAGUGUGUCCUCUCGCAUAAUAAUCCAUCUCACCCUUUGUGCAUCGCCGCGUGGGCACCCUUUGGGAUCAUCUCGGAGGGGGCUCGCGUUUUCACACAAACCCCCCUUUUAAAAGUGUAGAAUGACCUCAUUUAUGCGCUAACACGCAAUCAAUACAACUUUCAACAACGGAUCUCUUGGCUCUCGCAUCGAUGAAGAACGCAGCGAAAUGCGAUACGUAAUGUGAAUUGCAGAAUUCAGUGAAUCAUCGAAUCUUUGAACGCACCUUGCGCCCCUUGGUAUUCCGAGGGGCACACCCGUUUGAGUGUCGUGAAAACCUCAACCUCCUUGGUUUCUUCUGGAGACCAAAGGCAGGCUUGGACUUUGGAGGCCUUUGCUGGAACCUCUCUCUUUUGAAGGCCAGCUCCUCUUAAACGAAUUAGCAGGGUCCUCUUUGCCGAUCCUCGACGUGUGAUAAGAUGUUUCCAUGUCUUGGUUUCUGGCUCUGUCACCUUUGGGACCCGCUUCUAACCGUCUUGACCUUGCGUCGAGACAACGUUCGAGCAUGUCUCCCUUCUCGGGAAGCUCCCUCGACCCCACGAACCCUUGACCUCAAAUCGGGUGAGACUACCCGCUGAACUUAAGCAUAUCAAUAAGCGGAGGAAAAGAAACUAACAAGGAUUCCCCUAGUAACUGCGAGUGAAGCGGGAAAAGCUCAAAUUUAAAAUCUGGCGGUCUUUGGCC
rnacentral:rRNA from 1 species